GGGGGGGUGCGGGUGGUGAUCGAAGGGCUGAAGAUGCGGAGGAGGCCGAGUCGCUAGGCGCUUUCGGGGGCGCUGUGCCGGGGAGGCUUAGUCAAGGGGACCGGGAACCCUGGUUAGAUGCAGCAGCGGCGGCAGCAGCCCUCCCAGGUCCCACUUCCUUGGCGUUCCUGCUGCCCGUGACUCAAGGCAAUUGACUUCCAUCUGAACCCUCAGCUCCGAAGGCCUUGCAUUAGAAGCUAGAGCUUUGGAGGUUCUGAGGACGGUCCCUGGGGAGCAAGUGGUAGGUUUCGAGGCGCCUGCUUCCCCUCUGAUUCCUGCAGUUACUGAGGGAGAGUGCGCUAGAAAUGGCUUUGCUGCCGAAUGCAUUAUCUUGCCAUUUUCGUGUCCCAAUACUGAACAAACGAUCGCCUGAUCGAUCGGAACUUCUUUUUUCCUCUUUGAAACCGGCUUCCCAAGGGAACUGCCUGUGUGACUGAGAGGCUAGUAAUCUGUUUGUAGAUGAUUUAUAUUUUGGCUGCAGAAUGAAUCCCCCUCCCUACUCGGAGUACUCUCCUUAGAGAAGAUCCCCCGCCCCCUCCCCAUGGGUUCGCUCUCAGAGCUCGGAUCUGUAUAAAGAGCGCUGUGGGAGUCUUUUGCCCUCCGCUCUAGCUCUAUCUUUCUCCGGACCCCGAAGCUUAAGAAUUAUCCGCCUCACUCUCUUUUUUAGAAAUAGGAGGGAAAGGUAGAGUGGAAAUUGAUUUCUUGCAGAGACUGAGGCGCUGAAUGAUAGAGGGAAUAAACAUUUGCCCUGGAUAAAAAUGUUCUUGGCUGUUGUCCAGCUCUAAUGAUGUCCUAGAGCAGAAGUGUUUCUUCUGUUGUCUCAUUUUACCAAGAGGAUGAUGUCUGUGUAUGUCUCUGUGUUUUAGAGAGACUAACAAAUGCUGCUAAGAGGAUCUGAGGUUCACAUAAAGAGGCUGAAAAUUCGGAAUUACUUUCAUUGCAAAUAAAUGUUAACAAUUGUGAAAGUUAGAGAGCAUACUUUUCACAUAAGACUUUGAUAUGCUGCCUAAAGCUACUUACAAAAUUUGCUAUUCAGAGAAAUACAUUUGUUUAUUGAGGACCCACCCUGAGUUAAAUUACAAAAAUGUAACAUUCAGAUUUUUAUUUUAUAUGUGAAAUCAAUGUGUGAUUGCUGUUCUUAAAAAUUUGAAAAAAAAAAAAAACAGGAUAACAAAAAUAUUACUUUUGUUACCCAUAGUUCAUGAACUUUAAAAGCGUUUACAGCAUUUAAAGUUUAACAAUUUAAGUAUUAGAACACUAUACUAAUUCAUAUGAUUACAUUUGAUCAACUCCUUCAUGAAGCCACAGGCUUUGUAUCUCCUAGCUGCCUUUUACCUUCAGAACACAUCUGGUUUAUACUUAGACUGCUCCAAAAGUUAUGCAUUUUAAUUUUGUGUUGAGAAUGUCUUUCUUAGAUAAUCACAGUGCAUAUUGGCAGCUAGUACUUCAGUACAUUUUAUAUUAUUGGUAAUGCUUUUGUUAGCCAUCCUGGUGCUGCCUUCUUAUAAGAACUGUGUAUGAGUUCCAACUAAUAUAUUUCUUACCUAUUAACCCACUAAAAUUUCUAAUCUAAAAGCAAUAUUCAAGAUACAUUUUAUUACAGAAAUUGGAAAGCAAUUUGCCUGGGAAGCAAAAUGUUCAUAUGACUCAGGUGAUUUUAACAUUAAAUCUAACUUGUAACAAAAAUGAGUUAUAUAAAGAUAAAUAACUUGAGACUAUUAUUUGCAUAGCAAAGAAAGUCACACAUGAUAUACACAUUUAUGCAUAUAUAAUUAAUUUCAAUAAAAUAUUAAUAUUUAUUC
rnacentral:lncRNA from 1 species